AUUGAACGCUGGCGGCAGGCCUAACACAUGCAAGUCGAGCGAGCGGCGGACGGGUGAGUAAUGUAGGGGGACUGCCCGAUAGAGGGGGAUAACUACUGGAAACGGUAGCUAAUACCGCAUACUAUCGGAUACCGCAUAGGGGAUUAGCUAGUAGGUGAGGUAAUGGCUCACCUAGGCGACGAUCCCUAGCUGGUCUGAGAGGAUGAUCAGCCACACUGGGACUGAGACACGGCCCAGACUCCUACGGAGGCAGCAGUAGGGAAUAUUGCGCAAUGGGUGCAAGUCUGAUGCAGCCAUGCCGCGUGUAUGAAGAAGGCUCUCGGGUUGUAAAGCUCUUUCAGUCGGGAGGCGUUAUCUACAGAAGAAGCACCGGCUAACACCGUGCCAGCAGCCGCGGUAAUUC
rnacentral:rRNA from 1 species